rnacentral:rRNA from 1 species
CGGACGGGUGAGUAACGCGUGUGAAUCUGCCUUGUUGUCGGAGACAACCACCCGAAACGUUGGUUAAUACCGGAUAAGCUUUUGCGUAAAAGAUUUAUUGCCCCUAGAGGUGCUCGCGUUUAGUUAGCUAGUUGGUGAGGUAAAUGCUCACCAAGGCAGCGAUUAGUAGCUGGUCUGAGAGGACGAUCAGCCACACUGUGACUGAGACACGGGCCAGACUCCUACGGUAGGCAGCAGUGGGGAAUUUUCCGCAAUGGGCGAAAGCCUGACGGAGCAAGACCGCGUGAGGCACGAAGGCUCUUGGGUUGUAAACCUCUUUUCUUAGGGAAUAAGUUCUGACGGCACCUGAGGAAUCAGCCUCGGCUAAUUCCGUGCCAGCAGCCUCGGCAAAACGCAGGACGCAAGCGUUAUCCGGAAUUAUUGGGCGUAAUGCGUCCGAAGGUGGCUAUUCAAGUCUGCUGGCAAAGCACGGGUCUUAACUCCGGUAAGGCAGUGUAAACGGAAUAGCUAGAGGGCCGUAGGGGUAGAAGGGAAUUUCCGGUUAUAGCGGGGAAAUGCCAUAGAGUAUCGGGAAGAACAUCGGUGGGGAAAAGCUCUUCUACUGGAACGUCAAUUGACUAUUCAGGGUCUGAAAGCUAGGGGGAGCGAAUGGAUUAGAUACCCCAAGUAGUCCGAGCUGUAACGAUUGAUACUAUGUGCAGCUUGGAAUCGACCCGAG